rnacentral:lncRNA from 1 species
CUACUACCCUUCUCUCUCCAGUCCCGAGCUACUACCCUCCUCUCUCUCCAGUCCCUAGCUACUACUCUUCUCUCUCUCCAGUCCCUAGCUACUACCCUUUUCUCUCUCUCCAGACCCUAGCUACUACCCUUUUCUCUCUCUCCAGUCCCUAGCUACUACCCUUCUCUCCAGUCCCUAGCUACUACCCUUCUCUCUCUUUCCAGUCUCUAGCUACUACCCUUCUCUCUCUCCAGUCCCCAGCUACUACCCUUCUCUCUCUCUCUCCAGUCCCCAGCUACUACCCUUCUCUCUCUCUCUCCAGUCCCCAGCUACUACCCUUCUUUCUCUCUCUCUCUCUCCAGUCCCCAGCUACUACCCUUCUUUCUCUCUCUCUCUCUCCAGUCCCCAGCUACUACCCUUCUCUCUCUCUCUCUCUCUCCAGUCCCCAGCUACUACCCUUCUCGCUCUCUCUCCAGUCCCCAGCUACUACCUCUCUCUCUCUCUCUCUCUCUCUCCUCUCUCUCUCUCUCUCUCUCCAGUCCCUAGCUACUACCCUUCUCUCUCUCCAGUCCCUAGCUACUACCCUUCUCUCUCUCUCUCCAGUUCCACUAGGCUUACUACCCUUCUCGUUCUCUCUCAAGUCGCCGCUACUACCCUUCUCUCUCAUCUUCUCUCAAGUCCCUAGCUACUACUUCUCCCUCUCUCUGUCUCUCUCUCCUUGUCUCUCUCUCUAGUCUCUCUCUCGUCUCUGUCUCUGUACUCUCUCCUACGUCUCUCUCUCUCUCUCUGUCUCUCUCUGUCUCUGUCUCUCUCUCUCUCUCUAGUCUCUCUCUCUCUCUCUCUCUCUCUCUAGUCUCUAGCUACUUACCCUUCUGCUUUGAGACGCGGGUGACCUUUCACACUGACUCUCUCUCUUCCUGGUGCCAUCUCAACCGUAGUGUUAAAACAUCUCUACUUCUAGCCUCUCUAUCAUCUCAACUCAGUUGAGCCUUUUAAUCAGUGUGACAACGUUACUACUGUAGACCCACCCUGGGCAAAACAAGGAUGACUCUCGUCGUCCUUCCGGAAUUUGAUUUGUGAAUGUGUUCUCUAAUCCAUUUCUAGCUUGUUGUAUGAGCUCAGAUUUGUCUUCUGGGUGACAUUGACACGGAUGAUGAUGCGUUCAUCUUUGCAUUCUCUCUCUUCACACCUAGUCAGUGUUUAAACUGGAAUUACAACAUCUUCAACAACGUUCAGGGAUUCAAUACUAUGCUUUUCAGUAAUUACUACAGUAUAUGCAACCCGUGCAGAAUGGUGCAACGUACGUACUUGCAUUGCUGCAGGAGCGACUUUCACACCACUGUAGCAUUUUAAAAACAUUUUUAAUCUUGUCUAUUGAUGUUUUAAUGAUUUGCUGAGCUGAGCUUUUGGGUAUUAGACAGAGAGCAGGUGGGCAGGUGCCAACUCAAACAAUUGUUACUUUACCUCUAUCUGAAAGACAGUGGAACGGACUUAGGGAAAGCCCAACUGUAUUACUAGAUUGUGGCUGUACUCUUGGGGGUAAAGGCUGCAGUUGGCCAGUGGUCUCGCAGCGGAUGUAGGCUCUAUCGCAAUUAGUCUUUCCUUGAUUCCUCACAUCCUAUCUCCUUGCCUAAUAUGGUUGAGGAGGAGGAGAUGGUUGAGGAGGAGGAGAGGGGAUGCGAAGAUUCAAGGACAUUUUAAUUGAGAAAGCCAUAGAAUGGUGGCCGUUACUGUGAAUCCCCCCCCCCUCCCUCGCUACACACUGGAAGCCUGUAGCGCUCAGCAAUACCACUAGCAAGCAAAGGGCAUUGGAGGAAGAGUGGAAGGGGCACCAGUUUCCAAGCAGUUAGUGGUGAACCAACAGUCUGAUAUACAAUCACUACAGUACUACUGCAUUAUUUUGGUUGUCGUAUGUGCUUCUGAGAAAAAAAUAGAUAUGUAGCCAUGUUGUGGUCCUCUAACGAUUUCUGGUAUUUUGAGGAUAUCAUUUUGUGUACAUGAUUUUAUUUUUAAACCACAACUACUUCUACAAAGCUGAUUUCACUGUAUAGGCGUUUUAUACCCCAAGCCACACUACAAUCUUCUUAGUUGAUCAGACCUUGGCCUUCUUGUGAGAGUUGACUUUCUUUCAGAUAAACUUCAGAAAGCCCAAAUAACAUUUGACUUCAGAUUGACUGGGAUAUUGAAAUGCACAUUAUGUAAAUAUACAUGUCAUUUUUAGACCGUAGAUGAUGGAUAUAGCAUGAGGUUGUUUCUAUUGUUAUUAGAAUAUAUCACAAAGACUGGAAAAAAUCCCAGAUAAAUGAAUUAUUACAUAAUAAGAUUUUACCUGUUUAUUUUGUAUAUCUAUGUUUUUAAAUUGUAUCAAUUUAUGGCCCAAAUGGCCAAAAACGGUCACUCUUCCUUCCCCAGAUGAGACUAACUUCUUUCUAAGGUGAUCGGAUGAAAAUCCCCUCAAAUGGAACCCUGAAUCAACAGUUAUAUACCAUUUUCACACUACUGAGCUGAGCCGAACUAUGCCGAACCGAGUUGGAUAGAGAUGGCCUGGUUAAGCAUCCACCAUAGUUGCUGGAAGAAAGCUGAAAAUGACAAUGUGAUCGGAAAAUAUCAGAGCCAAGUAUGGUUCGGGUUGGCUCAGUAGUGUGAAAAUAGUCAUUGUUUUACCUCAGACAUCCUAGCUCAGACCCUUAUGUUACACUACAACAUUGACAUACCAUUGCUACAAUGUUCCAGCAGUGUUGCAAGAAUGUUAUUCCUUGUAUGUGACCAUCAGUGUUUUCUGUAACACACUUCCUCUCAAAACAACCCUAAAGCUAAACCUAGGUUUGCUUCGGUUCUGUAUUUGCUGAUAGUCGAGCAGUGUGACUUGGCACAAAUGACUGUUCUAUUGGCUAGUGGACUUGCCAAUCAUUUUUAUGCUUUGCAGUUUUUUAACAAACUUUUUCAGAUGCCUGGUUGGAAGUGGAUGUUAAAUAUUGUACAGAGAAAUUGUAUGCUAUUGUCCCUAAAAUAAAAGUAUAGUGACUGCUCAUUACUGAUGUUGUCUAUCUGAAAUCUAUGAAUUGUUUU